UUGCUUUUUCUUUCUCUCUUUUAAACCCUCUCUCCUUCUCUUGUGUUUUUUCUCUGUAGCCUAUUUUCCUUCUCUCUCAUUCACUCCUUCCCUCCUCUCUCCCUCCUCCCCGUCCUUUAUUCCCUCACACACCCAUCCAUCCGCUAUCUGUGCAGUAAAGUGGGACUUCAGACUUCAUAAUGUGGCUUGAGGUUUCAGCUUUCACAUAAUUCCACAGGCUGACCCAAAGUUUUUUUUUUUUCCUUUUCUGCUUCUCACUCACUCCAACCUGGACCAGAAGGGAGAGAGAGGGAGAGAGAGCUGCUGCAUUACUCCAGAUAUUGGGACGGAAAAUGAUCACAAGACUGAAUGUGUCUGCCCAAACCCAAGGAAAAUAAGCAGACGGCUUAUGUUUUUAUGCACUGAACCCCAACUGUCCCGACAAUCAGUCCUGUCUGUGACCGACGAACUGUAGCUUACAACAGCUUUGUUGUUUGAGAGGACAACACUGGAGCCAUUAUGGAGAGCCAUGUGUUUCUGAUUACCCAGGCACAGAUUAGAGGGAGGGGAGCAGCGGUUGCUGUCUGCUUGCCCCCCAGCUCCUCUGAUGUGGCCAGCAACUGGACACCCAUCAGUCCAACUCCAUCUGCCACUCUCGCCCCCUUCCCACCUCCAAGCCAAACGCUUUCCCACAUCCGCCAUGAUGUCACUACCAGGUCUAUCUACCACCUUAUCCUGUUCCUAUUUAAACAUGUAAACACAAAAAUCUUUGUCAUUAAAAUGAUUCCUACUUGACCUACA